UCCAAAUUCAGAACAAACAGUG
rnacentral:snRNA from 1 species